rnacentral:rRNA from 1 species
AACGAACGCUGGCGGCAGGCUUAACACAUGCAAGUCGAACGCACCGCAAGGUGAGUGGCAGACGGGUGAGUAACACGUGGGGAUCUGCCCAAUGGUACGGAAUAGCUCCGGGAAACUGGAAUUAAUACCGUAUGUGCCCUUCGGGGGAAAGAUUUAUCGCCAUUGGAUGAACCCGCGUCGGAUUAGCUAGUUGGUGAGGUAAAGGCUCACCAAGGCGACGAUCCGUAGCUGGUCUGAGAGGAUGAUCAGCCACACUGGGACUGAGACACGGCCCAGACUCCUACGGGAGGCAGCAGUGGGGAAUAUUGGACAAUGGGCGCAAGCCUGAUCCAGCCAUGCCGCGUGAGUGAUGAAGGCCUUAGGGUUGUAAAGCUCUUUCGCCGACGAAGAUAAUGACGGUAGUCGGAGAAGAAGCCCCGGCUAACUUCGUGCCAGCAGCCGCCGUAACAC